AUACGUAGGGUGCGAGCGUUAUCCGGAAUUAUUGGGUGUAAAGGGAGCGUAGGCGGGAGUGCAAGUCAGCUGUUAAAUACAUGGGCUCAACCCAUGGGCUGCGUUUGAACCUGGAUUUUUGGAGGGGCGAGAGGGGAAUGGGAAUUCCGGGGGUGGCGGGGAAAUGCGUAGAUAGCAGGAGGAACACCGGUGGCGAAGGCGGCUUACCGGGCGUUUACUGACGCGGAGGCUUGAAAGCAUGUGGAGCAAACAGGAUUAGAUAGCCUGGUUGUCCGCGCUGUAAACGAUGAUUACUAGGUGUGGGGGGACUGUCCCCUGCCGUGGCGCAGGUAACACAAUUAAUAAACCCCCCGGGGAGUACGGCCGCAAGGUUGAAACCCAAAUGAAUUUGCGGGG
rnacentral:rRNA from 1 species